CCAUUCACAUGUUUCCUUGCUUUUUGAUGAGUUCUGUUCUGCACAAGCUAAAUCAAAUACUAAGAGGAAGAAGAGGUAAAAUCCAAGAAGCAAGAUCCCAUCCAUACUAUGGCUUUGAGAAUUUGUGAAAUUGAUCUUUGAAUUUUGUUUAUUGUCUGUUUGUUAUCACCAAUACUCAACUUCUUGUACUCAGAGGAUGAACGGAAAAAAAUACUCGAGCCCUUUACAAACUUAUAGCUGUUUGGUAUAAUUCAUGAGGUUGUUCUUCAUCAUCCGGAUGUGCUAAAGGCUGUUAAUCGGUAACUAAUGCUAGAUCCUGUCCAGUGCAGGCAGCGGCGGAGCCAAGAUUCGAGUUUAGUGCGGGCAACUUUUUUCGACGUCGAACGUCAAGGUUUUUGGUCAUGGAUUUUGUGAUGAUAAAAAAAUACUCCAAUUUCACAUUUCAUCGUAAAAGUUUUUGGCUGCACCGAAGAAGUUAGAUUCGUUGAUAGCACCACAUUUCGGUUGUUGACAACAACGGCUAGUCGGACGCAUUUUCGCUCUGAGGUUGAAUAGUGGCCAAUUGGCGUCGCAAGGAUCAGUGGAGUCGAAAAUUGGGAGUUCUUCAACUUUGUCAGAAUUGGAUAGUAGAACUCUUCAAGGUA
rnacentral:lncRNA from 1 species